GUGCUUGCUUAAGCAGCACAUGUACUAAAAUUGGAACGAUACAGAGAAGAUUAGCAUGGCCCCUAUGCAAAGACGACACACAAAUUCAUGAAGCAGUCCAUAUUUUU
ensembl:snRNA U6 U6 spliceosomal RNA